rnacentral:tRNA from 1 species
UGUACUCGAACCACUUUGGUAGAGCACAUCGUUCACAUCGAUGGGGUCGUAGGUUCGAGUCCUACUGGCACCACCA